CGAUGAAGCUGGAGCUUGCUCCGGUGGAUUAGUGGCGAACGGGUGAGUAACACGUGAGCAAUCUGCCCUUGACUCUGGGAUAACUGCGGGAAACUGUAGCUAAUACCGGAUACUUUCCUUGGUGGGCAUCCACUGGGGAAGAAAGAAUUUCGGUCAAGGAUGAGCUCGCGGCCUAUCAGCUAGUUGGUGAGGUAAUGGCUCACCAAGGCGACGACGGGUAGCCGGCCUGAGAGGGUGACCGGCCACACUGGAACUGAGACACGGUCCAGACUCCUACGGGAGGCAGCAGUGGGGAAUAUUGCACAAUGGGCGAAAGCCUGAUGCAGCAACGCCGCGUGAGGGACGAAGGCCUUCGGGUUGUAAACCUCUUUUAGCAGGGAAGAAGCGAAAGUGACGGUACCUGCAGAAAAAGCACCGGCUAACUACGUGCCAGCAGCCGCGGUAAUACGUAGGGUGCAAGCGUUGUCCGGAAUUAUUGGGCGUAAAGAGCUCGUAGGCGGUUUGUCACGUCUGCUGUGAAAUUUCGAGGCUCAACCUCGAACUUGCAGUGGGUACGGGCAGGCUAGAGUGCGGUAGGGGAGAUGGGAAUUCCUGGUGUAGCGGUGGAAUGCGCAGAUAUCAGGAGGAACACCAAUGGCGAAGGCACAUCUCUGGGCCGUAACUGACGCUGAGGAGCGAAAGCGUGGGGAGCGAACAGGAUUAGAUACCCUGGUAGUCCACGCCGUAAACGGUGGGUGCUAGCUGUGGGCCACAUUCCACGUGGUCCGUGACG
rnacentral:rRNA from 1 species